CCUACGGGGUGCAGCAGUGGGGAAUAUUGGGCAAUGGGCGCAAGCCUGACCCAGCAACGCCGCGUGAAGGAAGAAGGCUUUCGGGUUGUAAACUUCUUUUGUCAGGGAAGAGUAGAAGACUGUACCUGACGAAUAAGCCACGGCUCACUACGUGCCAGCAGCCGCGGUAAUACGUAGGUGGCAAGCGUUGUCCGGCUUUACUGGGUGUAAAGGGCGUGUAGCCGGGUUGACAAGUCAGAUGUGAAAUCCUGCGGCUUAACCGCAGAACUGCAUUUGAAACUGUUGAUCUUGAGUACUGGAGAGGCAGACGGAAUUCCUAGUGUAGCGGUGAAAUGCGUAGAUAUUAGGAGGAACACCAGUGGCGAAGGCGGUCUGCUGGACAGCAACUGACGGUGAGGCGCGAAAGCGUGGGGAGCAAACAGGAUUAGAUACCCCUGUAGUC
rnacentral:rRNA from 1 species